CGAGCGCCCCGCAAGGGGAGCGGCAGACGGGUGAAGUUAACGCGUGGGAAUCUACCCUUUUCUACGGAAUAACGCAUGGAAACGUGUGCUAAUACCGUAUGAGCCCUUCGGGGGAAAGAUUUAUCGGGAAAGGAUGAGCCCGCGUUGGAUUAGCUAGUUGGUGGGGUAAAGGCCUACCAAGGCGACGAUCCAUAGCUGGUCUGAGAGGAUGAUCAGCCACAUUGGGACUGAGACACGGCCCAAACUCCUACGGGAGGCAGCAGUGGGGAAUAUUGGACAAUGGGCGCAAGCCUGAUCCAGCCAUGCCGCGUGAGUGAUGAAGGCCCUAGGGUUGUAAAGCUCUUUCACCGGUGAAGAUAAUGACGGUAACCGGAGAAGAAGCCCCGGCUAACUUCGUGCCAGCAGCCGCGGUAAUACGAAGGGGGCUAGCGUUGUUCGGAAUUACUGGGCGUAAAGCGCACGUAGGCGGACAUUUAAGUCAGGGGUGAAAUCCCAGAGCUCAACUCUGGAACUGCCUUUGAUACUGGGUGUCUAGAGUAUGGAAGAGGUGAGUGGAAUUCCGAGUGUAGAGGUGAAAUUCGUAGAUAUUCGGAGGAACACCAGUGGCGAAGGCGGCUCACUGGUCCA
rnacentral:rRNA from 1 species